AGAUCUGUUGUUUGUCACUUAAUUUUGUUUAUGGAAUCUUUUGUCAGACAGAGAUUUUAUAUGAUAAAAUCGAAUGUGCCAAUCUCUUCCUUUGUUGGGAAGCUCACACGUCUAAUAUUCUCUCAUAAAUCUUUUGUCCUAUUGUCCCUGCUAGACUGACUGCAGCAGCGAUGCACCUUUCAUUGAAAAUAAAUCAUUCUAAAUUUAAAAUGCAAAUUUAAACUUGCCGCUGAUGCCUUGACUAACAAAAUCCAUCUUUGGAGAGGAAAAUAAAAUUCUCCAAUGAAAGUGCAUACAGAUCAGAGAAGUCUCCGGAAGGUCCAGAAUAAAUGCCUGCGGACCAAACCCCGGAUAAAUAAUGUGAAGUGAAGAGAAGACACCCGGCCACUACUUUGACCCAGCCCAUUUGUGUCCUCUGCACGACCGACAGAUUAGUUGCCAACUAUCUCCGGCCCCUUGCAGACAUAUCAAGAGAGGUGGCUGUGAUCACUUAAUUAGAGGAGAACCAAGAGGGGAAAGCCCAUGCUGGUUAUCCAGGAAUCCUGUGAUCAGCUAUCAUCAAACUCCCCAGGCUUUCUCUUCUGAUGAAAAUGUCAACCUCGGGAAGAAAUGUCUGCCGCAGCUUCUUGAAACACAGAGGACAGAGGAAUCUGGAGAAAGGUCUUUAAAAACUUUAACUCAAGAUCAUUGAGUAUGAGCAUCAGUAAGGAUCUUGCAAAGGGCUAUAUGCUUUAUAACAUCUGCUCUCCUUCGCCGCUCUCACCUUCUUUACGCCUGAAGGUCAUACCCAUCAAAAACUCACCUAUUCCAUCUCCCCUCCUGCCACAUCCUCCCUGUGAAAUGUGUGAACAGGGUCUGGGACAUAGUUGCACAGAUUCAGAAGCACGGCUACCUUGUCUUUUCCCGUUCCCAGUGACUCUAGCCUCCGUCAGCGGACCCAGUGGAAAUCAUUUCCGUCCAUUUUAAGCCAUUCUCCACCACCUGCACGUGCAGUCAGGUAACUCACGUGCUGUAGAUGUCUGACUUGCUCUGUGAUGGGGAUGUGGCAUGAGACUACAGCAUUUUUUUCUUCCUGGGCAGGAAACUGUCCCCGUCACACCACCGCAGUCCAUUACAAACUUGACCCAGCAACUGCGUUACUAGGAAUUUAUCCAAAGGAUACAAAAAUGUUGAUUCGAAGGGGCACAGGCACCCCCAUGUUUAGAGCAGUUCUAUC